rnacentral:rRNA from 1 species
GAUGAACGCUAGCGGCAGGCUUAAUACAUGCAAGUCGAGGGGCAGCGCAGUGUAGCAAUACAUGGGCGGCGACCGGCAAACGGGUGCGGAACACGUACAGAACCUUCCUUCGAGCGGGGAAUAGCCCAGAGAAAUUUGGAUUAAUACCCCAUAGUAUAUUGAUAAGGCAUCUUAUUAAUAUUAAAGAUUUAUCACUUGAAGAUGGCUGUGCGGCUGANAGGUAGUUGGCGGGGUAACGGCCCACCAAGCCUGCGAUCAGUAACUGGUGUGAGAGCACGACCAGUCACACGGGCACUGAGACACGGGCCCGACUCCUACGGGAGCAGCAGUAAGGAAUAUUGGUCAAUGGACGCAAGUCUGAACCAGCCAUGCCGCGUGGAGGAUGAA